rnacentral:rRNA from 1 species
AUUGAACGCUGGCGGCAGGCCUAACACAUGCAAGUCGAGCGAGCGGCGGACGGGUGAGUAAUGUCUGGGAAACUGCCUUAUGGCGGGGGAUAACUACUGGAACCGGUAGCUAAUACCGCAUACCAUCAGAUGUGCCCAGAUGGGAUUAGCUAGUAGGUGGGGUAACGGCUCACCUAGGCGACGAUCCCUAGCUGGUCUGAGAGGAUGACGAGCCACACUGGAACUGAGACACGGACCAGACUCCUACGGGAGGCAGCAGUCGGGAAUAGUGCACAAUGGGGGCAAGCCUGAUGCAGCCAUGCCGCGUGUAUGAAGAAGGCCUUCGGGUUGUAAAGUACGUUCAGCGGGGAGGCGUUACCCGCAGAAGAAGCACCGGCUAACUACGUGCCAGCAGCCGCGGUAAUUC